AUCCUUAUUAUGCUCAUCCGUAAUAAAGAGGGCGUGAGGGGGGCACAGCAGGAGAUCGGUUUCGCCUUCAGCUACCUAAUACCAUCACACAACUCAAAAGAGGACAGCUGGCAUUCUAUCCUUCCAGCUCGCUCCCUUCCUUUCGCCCUUCGGUUCUUCUGUGGCGGUGACCUUCAACGGCCAAAACAUCCAUAGUAUAAUAAUCCACAGACGAACUUCCCGAUCAAAAUCCAACCUGGGGAUCUAUGGUGGUCUCUGUAUAUCCCCUGCCGCGUGGGGGUCCAAUUUCUCCGGUAAAACACUUGCCGCGUCUUUUGUCCUCUGGUGAUAUUUCGGCUUCCUUCUUUUAUUCUUCUGAUCUUUCGACGUUGCCAUCAUCAAUCUAUGUGUUCAUAUUAUUUCCUUCUUCAGGCGCUCUUUACAUUUAUUGGAUGGUAGUGUCGAGGCCGAGAACACGUAUGGACGGAAAGAACAUUUCCCAUCAUCUAUGAAUAUCAUCCAAG
rnacentral:sRNA from 1 species